rnacentral:lncRNA from 1 species
GCAUUCAACCAGAUGUUGUAACCUACAGCUCAUUAAUUCAUGGUAUGUGCAACCUUAACCGAUGGGAUGAUAUAACACAAUUGUUUAAAGAUAUGGACAGACACAAAAUUUCUCCAAAUAAGCAUACCUAUAGUAUAUUGGUUGAUGCACAUGCAAGAGAUGGAAAGGUCAAAGAUGCUGAGUAUCUGAUAGAGUUAAUGAUUCGAAGAGGCCAACAUCCAGAUGUAGUCACAUAUAAUUCAGUAAUGGAUGGAUACUGCUCGCGGGAAGAAUUGGAUAAAGCGUUAGCGGUGCUCAGAACCAUGACAAGCAAGGGGAUUUUGCCCGACACUCGUACCUAUACUAUAUUGAUCAAUGGUUAUUGUAAGAAGAAGAAAGUAGACACAGCAACAACUCUCUUAGAAGAAAUGCCCCUGAAAGGUUUAACACCUACAGUUGAAACAUACAGUACUAUUUUGGAUGGCUUAUUUCGCACGCGUAGGCUUGAUGAAGCACAUAAGUUUUAUAGGAAGAUGUUAAACCAAGGUGUCAGACUGGAUAUAGUGACAUGUUGUACCUUGCUUCAUGGACUUUGCUGGAAUGGACUGGUUGUUGAAGCAAUGUUCUUGUUUCACAAGAUGGAGUCUUGUGGCUUAGUUCCUGAUAUACACAUUUAUAGUAUUCUGAUUCAUGGAUUGUUCAAGGACGGCAAGGUUGACAAGGCAAGGAACCUUUUUCAUAAUCUUCUUUUGAAGGGUUUACAGCCUAGUGUCAAAACCUACACCAUUAUGAUCCAUGGAUUCUGCCAAGAAGGGUUGCUGGAAGAAGCAUAUAAAAUACUUUUGGAAAUGGAAGAACACAAUUGCUUGCCUGAUGAAGUUACCUACAACACUCUUAUUCGUUGCUGCUUUAAGAAUAAGAUGUAUGAUGGAGGUUGUAUGCUUAUAGAUGAGAUGGUUGCUCAUGGUUUCAAAGCAGAUGCCUCUACCGCCUCGAUGCUAUUUAAUUUGCUGCAAUUAAAAGAGCAGGACCCUGCGCUCGUUGCUUUGCAGAAGAAGUUCAUGCCUUGACUACGCGAGUUUAUUAAGGUACAAAAUACUUUUAAAUUUCCAGAACUUUGUAAUAAUUUGCUACGAUAUAUAUUGCCAAUAGCAAUUGUGAUAUUGGAGUGAAUAAUAUGUAAUUUUGUUGAAUAUGUAAUUUCCAGAACCAUUACAAUUAUUUUUUGAUAUAUUAGUUCUUAAUAUAUGUUUUUUUUCUUCGUCUCUAUGUAGUUUUGAACUUUCUUCCAAAGAAAGGGAAUCCUUCAGAACUACUAUUUAUAUAUUAUUAAACUUGUUUUCUCUGCAUAAAAAUUGUUUUGUCAUGCAUACUUAAAUAUGAUGAUUCAGUCUGCAACAUUAUUAUUUACUUGCACUCUCUUGUCAGUUUGUUAUCUUUUGUCGUAGUCCACUAGCACUUCUCUUUACUGCAAGGUUAGUUUAAAUUAGUAUAAAGUAGAGUUUAAGUGCAGCAGAGUUGAAGUUCAACCGUUAAAGUCAUCAGUACCAAGAUGCGACACUGGGGUCAGUCUAUAAUGUGUGCUAGUCCUUUAUGUAGAUUAAACUUAUUGCGGCUACUUUGUGAAUAAGAGAAACGACGAAGGAUGUGUGCUUAUAGACAAGAUGGUUGCUCAUGGUUGUCCUACUGCAUGCCUCUAGAACCUCCAUCUUGUUAGACUUGAUCGAAGUAAAAGGACCGGCUCUCCUUGCUUUGCAGAAGAACUUUUUGCCCCUGAGAACGUUAAGGAGAGAGUUUGUUAAGGUACACAAUACUUAUAAACUGCCAACACUUCGUCAGAGUUUGCAGCAGAUUUUGAAGGCAAUAGAAACUUUGAUAUUGGAAUUCAUGAUAUGUAAUGUUGUUAAAUAUCAAAUUUUAAGAUGGUGGUCAUAUUUUGUAUUAGAGCAUGUAUUUUCUUUGACAAUGCAGAAAAGCUGGUUCCUCAAGAGAUGCAGAUACCACCUCACAGGAUAUUGGAAUUCAUGAUAUGUAAAUUGUAAUGUGAAAUGGAUGUAGACAUUGAUAUUAUACUGGUUUCAAUUUGGCAGCGGCACACAUAAUAAUAGUAGGAUAAUUAGCUGGUCUGCUUUUGCAAAGGAGAUCUCUUUGCAGGUUGGAGUCUUGGAGGUGCUUGUUUCCUAAAGUGAUGUAUCAUGGAGGUUGUGUACUUAUAGAUGAGGUGUGUGCUCCUGGUUUCAAAACAGAUGCCUCUACCGCCUCCAUGUUAUUCGAUUUGCUGCAAUUGAAAGAGCAGUGCCCCGUGCUCCUUGCUUUGCAGAAGUUCAUGCCUUGAGUACAUCAAGGAGAGAGUUUGUUAAGGUACAAAAUACUUUUAAAUUGCCAAAACUUCGUAAUAGUGUGCUACAAAAUUUUUAAUCAAUAGCAAUUAUGAUAUUACAGAUAAUAGAAUGAAAUUGUUGAAUAUCAAAUUUCGAACUGGUGGCCGUGUUGUAUUUGCAUUUUUUCACAAAACGAGAAGUGUGGUAGAGCAUCUAUUUUUCUUUAACAGAGAGCUGCUUUCUUAGGAGAUGCAUACCACCUGUAUAUUACCGGACCUUCUAUUCUUGCUCUGCAUGGUACAUACUGGCAUCUGUUGAUUUGGUGUAAAAAUUAUUAUUUACUUGCACCUUCGUGAAACUACUUUUGAUAUAUUAUUAAACUUGUUUUCAGACUGUAGUCACAAAUUUGUUUUUAAAAAAUGCCUCCAGUCAAGUUUGUUUAUUCAGAAAUAUCCUAUGCAACUACAUAUACACAUAUCGGCAGGGUAAAAUGGCUAAUUCAUAACAAAGCUGCUUAAAAACUUGCAGUUUGGUCAUGGAGUUAAAAAAGCUCACAGUCAACUAAUGAAGUAUUAAAAAACUUGCAUAUUAAUAACUCCCGUUAACUCUGUUAAUAACAUAACGGAAAUAAGCUCAUUUUCAAAUAGAUCACUGGAUGAAGAACAACACUGCAAAUACAUCAUUCCAAACAUAAUAACCAUCCACCCCCCUGCAGUUACAAUAAUAAAGAGAAUUAUCAUCCCACCUUCAGUUACAGUCACAAAAAAACUAGCAUAUUACCAAGUUUACGGUGUCCAAAAAGCAAGAUGUUCCCCACUAGCAAAUUACAAAUAUUAAACUACAGUCCUGUUUUUCUUGGGACCUUGAAUUUUCUCACAGGAAGCUUUGGCCUUCCUCUUUUGCUGGUCCCAGCCUCAUGUGGUUGCAGCUUUGAAGGAGAUGGAGUCCCACCUGUGCCAUGUGUUGCUUGAACAUUUGGUGUAAGCAUCUGCAUUUUAAUGAAACAAACAAUUAAUACACUAGUUUGUGCAUGAAUUAAAGCAAUUGAAAGGAUAAAAUAACUUACAAAAACCAUUCUUUGGCUUCUUCUAGGUGUAGUUGGUGGUGGUGCACUAACCACAUGCUCAGCCUCCAAAAUCUCAUCCAUAAGUUCAGCUUCCCCUGUCUCCCUUUCCCUCCCAACCCUCUCACUUUCUGCAGCUCUUUCAGCUUCUUCUUCAGUCAUCUGUCUCCUCUUUGGCAUCCUUUUUCUGACUGGCUUCUCCACAUAAUCAGCAGGCUUGUUAGGGCAUUUGCCUCUAGUAUGCCAUGUCUCUCUACAGAUUGUGCAAUGCAUUACCCUCCCCAUCCUAGAGAAGUUUAGUCUUUGGGAUUGCUUCAUCCUUCCUCUAGCCUCCUCCCACCCUUCCCUCCUCCUCUACCUUUUAGGCCUUCCCCUCAGCUGCUUCACAAAUGGUGGUGGGAGAACUGUGUCUCCCAUUGUCUCCUUCCAAAAGGGUUCCCCCCUCAGCACUUCCAAACAAAAUGAGUAAGUCCUCAUAUAUGUAUCUUUCUUGAACCAAUGUUCCACAUAGUCAACUGGAUCUUCUCUUAUUUUUUGAAUGGCACAAACAGAAUGAGAGCAAGGUAUGCCAGUUAACUCCCAUACUCUACAUGAACAAGUACUUUCUUUCAAAUUAACACAAAAACCUACCCCCCUCCAUUUCACUUGAAAGUUAUCCUGACCAUCCCACAACACACUGCACUCACUACUCUCCAAAACAGAUCUGGCUUUAGGCACAAGCACACAAUCUACAUCCCUCAUUGCAUCUCUCUUUUUAUGUAUCCUCUCCAUAAGCAUAUCAUGAAUUUCUGUAAGCAUAUCAGUUAAGGGCAUGUACCUUGUCUUGAGGAUCCAAGCAUUGAAGCACUCAGAGAUAUUGUUGUCAGUGCUUGCACAUUUGGAAUGAGUUGCAAAGUAUGCUUGAGACCAUACUUUGGGAUCCAGUUCAUUCAUCUUCUGAGCAGCCCUUUUGGAGUGCUUUUCAAGGUCCUUCAUUGCAACCUUGAACUGAGCUGGAUGUGUGGAUGUACAAGCUCUCCAAAAUGCCACUUUGACAGCUUCACCUGGAUGCUUCUUAGACAAGUUGGAAGACAAAUGUCUAGCACAAAAUCUGUGCUCCACAAGAGGGAGAAAUUCCCUCACUGCCUUAUCCAAGCCCUACAACAAAGGUCAUAAAACCAAAACAAAAUUAGAUUCACAUAGAACACAAAAACAAAGCUGAAAAAUUAGUUGUAAGGCAAGAUAUUAGCACCUUUUGUUGAUCUGAAAUUAGUGUAUAUCCAGUGCCAUCUCCCAAGUCUAGAUCUUCAAUCAAUAGGAGUAAGAACCAACUCCAAGAAUCAUAAGAUUCAGACUCUACCACAACCAUUGCAAAUGGGAACAUGCUGUCAUUGCCAUCGCUUCCAACUGCUGAAAGAAGCUGGCCACCACACACAGAUUUGAGAAAGCAGCCAUCCAGACCUAUGAUUGGUCUACAUCCAGCCUUCCAACCCUUUUUCAGCUUGUCAUAACAGACAUAAAAUCUCUGAAAAUGAGGUGCAUCUCCCUCAUUCACCCUUGUUGUACAGAUCUUCACUGUGUUGUCCUUAUUUCUCCUCAAAAUUUCACCCCCAAAGUUCCUAACCCAAGCAUAGUGUUUUUUCAUCUCUUCCUCAACUUGACUUAAGGCCCUCUGUCUCACCCUACAACACUUAGCUUCACCAACUUCAACCUUCAAAGUUGUCCUGAAUUCUUCUUGCAUUUCUUUAAGCUUCCAACUAGGAUUUCUUCUUAUCCUAGGACCAUACAGAUCUGCUAGGUACUUGACAGUCACAAGCUUAUUUCUGUAUUGGUAGAUGCAGUUAUGCUCAUCAUUAACUGUCUUCAGCUGCCAACAUUUAUUCUCCUUCAAGUAUGAGAACCACAUCUUAAAGGGACAUCCUUUACUGCACACAACUUGGAUCCUCUGUUGGUCAUCCACACUGUACUUCAGUGGCCUCCCAGAUGCAAUAGAAAAGCUCCUAACUGCAUCUUUGACUUGUGCUUUAUCCUGCAUCUUUGACUUGUGCUUCAUCACCUAUAUCUUCUGCAGCCUCAUUCUCACACAACUCAUAAUCUUCCCCAUCCCCAUUCACAUGAUAAAGGUGUAGCCUAAUGACCCCAGCACCAUAGGCUUUUGUUGCUACAUGAACAAUUUCCGGGAUUUGAUCAUCACUCACAAGCAGUUUGUACCCACCCCUUAGACUAACACCAUUACACAGAUAAUAUAACUUAUCAGAUUCUCCAACGACAAAAUCAAACAUAUUUCUUAUAUAGCUCACACUCAAUUUCUCAACAUCAACCCUAAUCCUUUUCAUUGUAUCCCUACCCACAUACUCUCUAACACCAGUUAAAUUAGGAGUAACAAACCCACCAUUAUAAAACAACACAAUUCGAACAGUCCUGUAUACACACAUAAUAUACAUACGAAUUUAGGGUUUAUAGACACAUGCAUACAAAAUAUAGAGGGUUUACUGAAUCAACAAGAGAAUUAGAGAGGAAACUUACUCCAUUAUGCACGAAAUCGAGAAAUCGUCGCCGGUGAGUAGUUCAGUUCAAUCGUCGCCUCCUCUUUCCCACUCAAUCGCACUGCUGUCUGCUUAGAUAUGUAAUAAAAUGUGUUUUAAGUUUUAUUAUGCAUAUUUAGAUGUAAUUAGGCUUGGGUCGGGUCGGUGUAAGCUUGGGUCGGGUCGGGUUCACGGGUAUUUUAGCGGAGACGUUAAAAGUCAAAGGCACUUUAACCUUUGUGUAAGUUUCUGUUAGCACGGUCGUUCGAUUGAAUUUUUUUUAAAACAAAGUUAUGUGUUUGAGAGUUGUUUCAACUCCAUGACCAAACUGCAAGUUUUUAAGCAGCUUUGUUAUGAAUUAGCCAUUUUACCCCAUAUCUGCAACUAUUAUUGUAAAACUAUAAGAACAUCGUGGAGAUGGUAGAUUAUGGCUGAAGAAAGUAGAAGACAAUGAGCAAGGCUAUCACUACUUCCAUAAGAUUAAUCCACUCUCUCUUUUCUCCACUUAAUCAGACCCCGAUCCCGAAACCCCCUAAACUCCUUCAUGGAUACCUCAUCCGCAACUUCAACAGUUACUUCAUUAGAAAAAUGGUCGGUUAUAUGAGUUCCGUGGUGCUAUUCUUGUGUUAGACAAAAUGCUCCAAGCGAGACCUCGUACUAGUGUUAUCGACUUUAAUUAACUGUUAUCCACGAUCAUUACAAUGAAACAAUACUAUGUUGCUGAAUCUUUUUACUGAUACUUAUGCUUUUACCAUUCCAGUUAUUCUAUAUGCCAGUCAUCGAAAGGUAAGCAGCUGCUACUAAUCAUCCAUCUUCUGUCAAAUUCCCCUACUUUUGCAAUAGUAGUUUUGUUUUAAUUUCUACAUAAAUUUUUUAGCGGCUUAUUUAUACUCCGAUCAUUCAGAUUUGUACUGAAAUAUACACUGACCACUAAUUUUUUUCAUCCAAUUUCAUCAUUCUAGUUUGACGAUUGACGACUAUGCACUCCAGCUAUAGAUCUGGUAAAAAUAGUUACUUGUGUUACACUUACCGGCACAAGAGCGUAUAUGAGCAUGGUUAUGAACACCGUAAUUAUUUGUAUAAUAUAUAUCAAUGUCAGGCCUCACAAUCACCGACGUCAAGAACCUCUUCAGGAUGCCUAGCAGCUCAAGAUCAUCACCGAGACGAUUAAUGGAUCCCAUAAGUUUCUAUCUGGAAAGGGAAGAAUAAGCAGUCAUUUUGUUUGAUCUUUGGUGAGCUUUCUGUAUAGACUUAAGUAUAGCGACAUGCUUUGUUUGCUGUUCAUAUUUUUAUCAUAAUUCUUGUACUUUUACUCUUAAUCGCCUAAUGUUGUAUUAAAUUUACUCCAGAAAAUUCAUGGAAAUUAAAUAACAUUCUUUUCACAUGGAUGAUUGAUUUUUCUCCUUCAAAUGGAGGGUAGAAUUUUAAUGGAAAUAGGGAAGAAAAAGAUUAAUUUUCUGUGCCAUCAAUUAUGCUGUAGUCUGCACUUAUAUAACUUUGUUUCUUCAAUGACUGGCUUACAUUUGGAAGACGCUUUAAAAUAUAGUAGCCUUGUUUAUUAGUAUAAGUUUUUAACUAAAAUUUUUCUUUCUAGUAUUUAUAAUCUGGUAACAGGAGGAAAAGAGUCAAUGUUGCUAAUUGUGAUAAUAUCUCAAACUAUUUGCCGGUGGAAAUCUAAUAUUCUUGCAGACUUCUAUAACUGAAAUGAGGUCUAUGUAGGAUACUGUCUUGGUUCCUGCUUCACCGGUGACAAAUAAGAGUCUUCGGUAGUGUCUGAGGAUUUAUUUAGAGCACUGCAAGUUUUGGCAUCAAUGUUGUUUUCUAUAAUUAUAGUAAUAAAUGUCGACGCCAUCAAUUUUUUAUUUCUGUGAUGCACAUAUUAAGUUCUGUUUCUUUUUUUGUGUUUCUUACUGUAUAUAUUUAAACUCAACCACUUUUGCUGCAGAUGGACCCUUGGCAAUGGUAGCAUUAUAGGUCAAUAUUGGUAGCAGUUACAUACAAUUGUUUGCCUGAUGAAACACUCUUAUCCGCGGCUGCUUUAAGAAUAAGAUGUAUGAUGGAGGUUGUUUACUUAUAGAUGAGAUGUGUGCCCAUGGUUUCAAAGCAGAUGCAUCUACCACAUCCAUGCUAUUCAAUUUGCUGCAAUCGAAAGAGCAGGACCCCCGCUGCUUGCUUUGCAGAAGAAGUUCAUGCCUUGACUACAUCAAUGAGAGUUUUAUUAGGGUACAAAGUACUUUAAAUUGCCAAAACUUUGUACUAAUUUGCUACAAUAUUUUAUUUCAAUAGCAAGUGUGAUAUCAGCGUUAUAAUAUGUAAUUUUGUUGUACAUCAAAUUCGAAAUGGUGGUCGUGUUAUAUUCUUGUGACAGACAAUAUUCUCCACAUGAGACUUGGUACUACGGUUAAUAACUUCAAUCACUACAGUGUUUGUUUCCUACUUAUAAGUCCAGCUUCUGGAUUAUAAGUUAGGAGCACUUAUUUGUACUGUUUGUGUAAUAAGUCAAAAAGCACUUAUAAAAAACUAGGAAUGCUAGCUUUUGUUUCAGGAUUUCUACUUAUUUUCCAAACACUUUAAUCACUUAUAAGUCUUAUCUUACUUCUAACUUCUACUCCACUUAUUUAUUUUAAGCAAGAAACACUUAUUUUAAACUCACCGAAACGACCCCGUAAUCUGCCAUUGUUAAAAUCAAACAAUACUAUUUUGCUGUCUUUCUUUACUGAAACUUGUGCUUUAACCAUUACAACCCACCCACCCUCUCAAUUUCUUACACACUCAUUACAACCCUUCCGACCCUCUCAAUUUCUUACACACUCAGCGACCAAUUAUGAAAUCAAAUUUAAUGAAACUCUACUACAACAUGAAAUGACUCAACAUCAUCAUCCCCUUCUUCAUCACUCUCGUCGUUGUCAUGCUCAUCCUUUCCGCGGCGGCGAUACAAUCGCCGCUGCUCGUUGUCGGUGAUGAAACUCUGAUCCCGAUUAUCGACAGACUCCUUCGCUUUUUUCAGGACAACACGAGACAGAAGGAAAGAAGGAGAAGAGAGCGAUGAGAGAGAGAGAGAAAAAAGAAAUCGAGGAGAUGGAGAUGGAGGAGAGAGAGAAAGAGAGGGUGGGAGAAGAGAGACGGAGAGUAAAUGGGUGAGAAGGAUGAUGAGUUUAACCAAUAGAAUGAAAGUAUCGUAUUAAUGCAAUUUUAAUCUCUUUUUUCUCUCACUAAAAUUGUAAAACUGCAACUAGUUUAAUGUAGUAGUAAGUUUGCAAUAGAAAGCAUAAAAACCGGUAUAUCCGAUAAUUUCCCUUUAAAAAAAUACAUAUAUUAAAAAACCAUUAAUUAUAUAAUAUUUUUUCACUUGUAUUUCUAAUAAAUACACGAAUAUAGACUCUUAUACAACUCUUGUUAUACAAUUUUCAAGAAAGAUAAUUUUGAAAUGCUGUUUUCUUUAAGAAGACUGUUAUAGUGAGACGGAGAGUAUACUCCCUCCUUCUCAAUUUAUAGGGUCUCUUUUGAAAAAAAAAAAUUGUCCCAAAAUACAUGUCCCUCUCUUUUUUCAAUACAAAUUUAUUUAUAUAUUAAUUGUGAUUUUUUUGAAACUCAAUAUUAUUCUCAUUUCUGAAUGCACUAAAAGUUUUAUAUUUAUUGUGAUUUUUUUUGAAAAUCCUGUUGUCACCUAACAAUGCAUUAAUUAAUAAUACAUGAGAUCAAAUUAUAUAUAACCAACUUUUUUUUUAAUAUACGUGUUUUUUCUAAAAUGGAACGUUACUUUACAAGCAGCACUCCCCUUUAAAGAAACAGCACAGGAGCAGAGUUUCUAAACACAAAGGCAAGUGCAACUGUGCAAGAUGAAGACGAUGAUAAUGAUAGUGAGGAGGGCUUUCACCACCUGCUUCAAUUCAAACACUCUUCUUCCAUCCCCCAGUCAAGGUACUAAUACUGUUACUGCUACUACUACUAUUACGUUGCUUCGAUUGCAUUCACUUUCUCAGCCAUCCACUUACCCUAACCCUAAUCACAUACCCACUCAUCACACGGAACUUCAACAAUUACUUAACGAGAAAUGUAAGCUUGGUUUUGAUAAGCUGGAUGAUGCUCUUGUUGUGUUUGAUAAAAUGCUCCGUAUGAAGCCUCUUCCUACUGUCAUCCACUUUACUCAACUCUUGGCCGCCCUUGUCAAGACGAAACAUUACUCCGCGGCUGUCUCCGUCUUUUCAAAAAUGUGCUCUUGUAGCAUUCCUGUUAAUAUAAUUACUUAUAACACCGCCAUCAACUGUUGUUGCCACUUCAAACGAGUUGAUUGUGGCUUUGCGCUGUUGGCUGCCAUCUUUAAGCGUGGUUUUGUCCCGGAUGUCGUUACCUACACAACGCUUCUCAGGGGACUCAUUUCCCAGGACAAGUUUCUCGAGGCUGAGCUUAUGUUCAAGAACCUUCUCAAGUGCAAUCAGAUUCAGCCUAAUGCAGUUAUCUUUAACACCAUUAUCAAUGGCCAGUGCAAAACAGGCAACACUUCCCAGGCUGUGAUGUUGCUUAGAUACAUGGAGAACAAAGGUUGUAUGCCGGAUGUAGUAACUUAUAGCACUGUUAUUGAUGGUUUGUCCAAAGACAGAUUAGUUGAUGAAGCUCUGGGUCUUCUUGCCGAAAUGAGUGACAAAAGCAUUCAACCAAGUGUUGUAUCCUAUAACUCAUUAAUUCAUGGUAUGUGCAACCUCAGUCGGUGGGAUGAUAUUAUACAAUUGUUAAAUGAUAUGGACAGACACAAAAUUUCUCCAGAUGAGCAUACCUACAGUAUAUUGGUUGAUGCACAUGCCAGAGAUGGAAAGGUCAAAGAUGCUCAAUAUCUGAUAGAGUUGAUGAUUCAAAGAGGCCAAAAUCCUAAUGUAGUCACCUACAGUGCACUUAUGGAUGGAUACUGCUUGAGAGGAGAAUUGAAUAAAGCGUUAGCAGUGCUCAGAACCAUGACAAGUAAGGGGAUUUUGCCCAACACUCGUACUUAUAGUAUAUUGAUUAAUGGUUAUUGUAAGAAGAUGAAAGUAGACACAGCAAUACAUCUCUUAGAAGAAAUGCCCCUGAAAGGUUUAACACCUACAGUUGAAACAUACAGUACUAUUUUGGAUGGCUUAUUUCGUACGCGUAGGCUUGAUGAAGCACAUAAGUUUUAUAAGAAGAUGUUAAACAAAGGUGUUAAACUGAAUGUAGUGACAUGCGGCAUCUUGUUGCAUGGACUUUGCUGGAAUGGACUUGUUGGUGAAGCAAUGUCCAUGUUUCACAAGAUGGAGUCAUGUGGCUUAGUUCCUGACAUAUGCAUUUAUAAUAUUCUGAUUAAUGGGUUAUUCAGGGACAACAAGGUUGACAAGGCAAGAAACCUUUAUCAUAAUCUUCUUUUGAAGGGUUUACAGCCUACUGUCAUAACCUACAACAUUAUGAUACAAGGAUUCUGUCAUGAAGGGUUGCUGGAAGAAGCAUAUAAAACACUUUUGGAAAUGGAAGAAAACAAUUGCUUGGCUAAUGGAGUUACAUACAACACUCUUAUUCGCGGCUGCUUUAAGAAUAAGAUGUAUCAUGGAGGUUGUGUGCUUAUAGAUGAGAUGGUUGCUCAUGGUUUCAAAGCAGAUGCCUCUACCGCCUCCAUGCUAUUCGAUUUGCUGCAAUUAAAAGAGCAGGACCCUGCGCUCCUUGCUUUGCAGAAGAAGUUCAUGCCUUGACUACAUCAAUGAGCGAGUUUAUUAAGGUACAAAAUACUUUUAAAUUUCCAGAACUUUGUAAUAAUUUGCUAUGAUAUAUAAUGUCAAUAGCAAUUGCGAUAUUGGAGUUAAUAAUAUGUAAUUUUGUUGAAUAUCAAAUUUGGAGAUGGUGGUUAUUUUAUAUCUGCAUCUUUUUACAAAAUGAGAAUCAUGAAAAAGCAUGUGUUUUCUUUGACAAAAUGCAGGAAGCUGGUUUCUCGGGAGAUGCAUGCCACCUGUAUAUUACAGGACCUGCUAUAAAUAGGACACUGCUAUGCUUGCUCUGUAAAAGUUUUUGUCAUACAUACUGGAAUGAUCCAGUGUGGGAAUUUAUUAUUUACCUGCACUCUUGUAAGUUUCUUAUCUAUUCUCGUAAUUAACUUGGAUUGUUCUUACUGUAGGAUUAGUUUAGAGUUGCAUAAAGCAGUGUUCAGCGCAGAAAAAGUAAAGUACAAGAACCAUUACAAUUAUUUCUCCAUACAUUAGUCCUUAAUAUAUGUAUUUUUUCGUCGUCUGUAUGUAGUUUUGAACUUUCUUCUAAAGAAAGGGAAUCCAUCANCUGGUUUCUCGGGAGAUGCAUGCCACCUGUAUAUUACAGGACCUGCUAUAAAUAGGACACUGCUAUGCUUGCUCUGUAAAAGUUUUUGUCAUACAUACUGGAAUGAUCCAGUGUGGGAAUUUAUUAUUUACCUGCACUCUUGUAAGUUUCUUAUCUAUUCUCGUAAUUAACUUGGAUUGUUCUUACUGUAGGAUUAGUUUAGAGUUGCAUAAAGCAGUGUUCAGCGCAGAAAAAGUAAAGUACAAGAACCAUUACAAUUAUUUCUCCAUACAUUAGUCCUUAAUAUAUGUAUUUUUUCGUCGUCUGUAUGUAGUUUUGAACUUUCUUCUAAAGAAAGGGAAUCCAUCAGAACUACUUUUCAUAUAUUAUUAAACUUGUUUUCUCUGCAUAAAAGUUGUUUUGUCAUGCAUACUUAAAUAUGAUGAUUCAAUCUGCAACAUUAUCAUUUACUUGCACUCUCUUGUCAGUUUGUUACUCCCUCCGUCCCAAAAUAGUUGUCACAUUUAGUUUUGUGCGGAUCAAAUUGACUAAAGUUUGACUGAAAUUUAUUAAUAUUUUAUCAAUUGACAAAAUAAAAAAAUGUCACCGGAAAUAACUUUUAAUCUACUUUAAGAUGUAAUUUUCAAUUUUUUAAAAUAAUGAAUUAUUGACUUAUAAUCUUUGGUCAAAAUUUAGUCAAUUUGACCAACACUCGUACUUAUAAUAUAUUGAUCAAUGGUUAUUGUAAGAAGAUGAAAGUAGACACAGCAAUACAUCUCUUAGAAGAAAUGCCGAGGGCAGGUUUAACACCUACGGUUGAAACGUACAAUACUAUUUUGGAUGGGUUAUUUCGUACGCGUAGGCUUGAUGAAGCACAUAAGUUUUAUAAGAAGAUGCUAAAGCAAGGUCUUAAACUAGAUAUAGUGACAUGUCGUACCUUGCUACAUGGACUUUGCUGGUAUGGACUUGUUGUUGAAGCAAUGUCCCUGUUUAACAAGAUGAAAUCAUGUGGCUUAGUUCCUGACAUACAAAUUUAUACUAUUCUGAUUCAUGGAUUGUUCAAGGACGGCAAGGUUGACGAGGCAAGGAACCUUUUUCAUAAUCUUCUUUUGAAGGGUUUACAGCCUGAUGUCAUAUCCUACAACAUUAUGAUACAAGGAUUAUGUCAAGAAGGGUUGCUGGAAGAAGCAUAUAAAAUACUUUUGGAAAUGGAAGAACACAAUUGCUUGCCUAAUGAAGUUACCUACAACACUCUUAUACGCGGCUGCUUGAAGAAUAAGAUGUAUGAUGGAGGUUGUGUGCUUAUAGAUGAGAUGGUUGCUCAUGGUUUCAAAGCAGAUGCCUUUACCGCCUCCAUGCUAUUCGAUUUGCUGCAAUUAAAAGAGCAGGACCCUGCGCUCCUUGCUUUGCAGAAGAAGUUCAUGCCUUGACUACAUCAAUGAGCGAGUUUAUUAAGGUACAAAAUACCUUUAAAUUUCCAGAACUUUGUCAUAAUUUUCUACGAUAAAUAAUGCCAAUACCAAUUGUGAUAUUGGAGUGAAUAAUAUGUAAUUUUGUUGAAUAUCAAAUUUCGAGAUGGUGGUCAUGUUGUAUCGGCAUGACGGCAUCUUUUUACAAAAUGAGAAUCAUGAAAAAGCAUGUGUUUUCUUUGACAAAAUGCAGGAAGCUGGUUUCUCAGGAGAUGCAUACCACCUGUAUAUUACCAAAACUUCAACGAGUGCCACUUGAGUACAUCAAGGAGAGAGUUUAUUAAGGUACAAAAUACUUUUAAAUUGCCAAAACUUCGUAAUAGUGUGCUACAAAAUUUUAAAUCAAUAGCAAUUAUGAAUUUAUGAUAUUACAGAUAAUAGAAUGUAAUUGUUGAAUAUCAAAUUUCGAACUGGUGGCCGUGUUGUAUUUGCAUCUUUUCACAAAACGGGAAGUGUGGUAGAGCAUCUAUUUUUCUUUAACAAAGAGCUGCUUUCUUAGGAGAUGCAUACCGCCUGUAUAUUACCGGACCUUCUAUUCUUGCUCUGCGUGGUACAUACUGGCAUCUGUUGAUUUGGUGUAAAAAUUAUUAUUUACUUGCACCUUCGUGAAACUACUUUUGAUAUAUUAUUAAACUUGUUUUCAGACUGUAGUCACAAAUUUGUUUUUAAAAAAUGCCUCCAGUCAAGUUUGUUUAUUCAGAAAUAUCCUAUGCAACUACAUAUACACAUAUCUGCAACUAUUAUUGUAAACUAUAAGAACAUUGUGAGAUGGUAGAUUAUGGUUGAAGAAAGUAGAAGACAAUGAGCAAGGCUAUCACUACUUCCAUAAGAUUAAUCCACUCUCUCUUUUCUCCACUUAAUCAGACCCUGAUCCCGAAACCCCCUAAACUCCUUCAUGGAUACGUCAUCCGCAACUUCAACAGUUACUUCAUAAGAAAAAUGGUCAGUUAUAUGAGUUCCGUGGUGCUAUUCUUGUGUUGAACAAAAUGCUCCAAGUGAGACCUCAUACUAGUGUUACCGACUUCAAUUAACUGUUAUCCACCAUCAUUACAAUGAAACAAUACUAUGUUACUGUCUUUUUACUGAUACUUAUGCUUUUACCAUUCCAGUUAUUGUAUAUGCCAGUCAUCAAAAGGUUAGCAGCUGCUACUAAUCAUCCAUCUUCUGACAAAUUCCCCUACCUUUGCAAUAGUAAUUUAGCUUUAAUUUCUACAUCAAUUUUUUAGCGGCUUAUUUAUACUCCGAUCAUUCAGAUUUGUACUGAAAUACACACUUACCACUAAUGAUGGAGGUUGAUUACUUAUUGAUGAGAUGUGUGCCCAUGGCUUCAAAGCAGAUGCAUCUACCACCUCCAUGCUAUUCAAUUUGCUGCAAUCAAAAGAGCAGGACCCCGCGCUCCUUGCUUUGCAGGAGAAGUUCAUGCCUUGAGUACAUCAAUGAGAGAGUUUAUUAAGGUACAAAAUACUUUAAAAUUGCCAGAACUUUUUAAUAGUUUGCUACAAAUCAAUAGCAAUUGUGAUAUCGGAGUUGAUAAAAUACAACAUUUUGUUAAAUAUUUACUUCGAAGUGGUGGCCUUGUUGUAUUUGCGUCAUUUUACAAAACGAGAAGUAUGAUAAAGCAUGCAUUUUUUCUUCGACAUAAUGCUAGAAGUUGGGUUCUCAGGGGAUGCAUACCACCUGUAUAUUACAAGACCUACUCGGAACAAAUUAGCAGGAUCCUUCUACUCUUUCUUUGUGUAAAAUGUUUUUCAUGGGUACUGCAAUCUGGUGAUGCAAACACUCUGCAGCAUUAUAAUUUACUUGCAUUACAUUGUAAGUUUGUCUUCUAUAUUUGGCACUUGGCAGUCUACUAAGAGUUACUUUAAGUGCUGUAUGGCUAACAUGUAGUUGCAUAAAGGUGUCUUCAGUGCAGCAAAUGUGAAGUAUACCAACAUUUCCAUUUAUUUUAUUGAUAUAUUAGUUCUUAAUAUUAAUAUUGUAUUCGUUCUCUCUUUCUAAGUUUAAAAUCUCUUUUAAAAUACAGGAAAAUGAUCCAAAAUACUAUCCUUUGUUUCUAAAUUUGUUUACAGUUUAAAAUAAUAAACUAGUUUUCAAUUUUAUUAUAUUCACAAAAUAUUAUAUAAAUUGCCUAUAUUUAAGUCUGUUUAUUCGGAAAUACUCUAUGCAACUAAGUAUAAACCUAUUUGUAGCUAUUGUUUUAAAAUAUAAAACCAUUCUGGAGACAAUGAGAAAGGCUGUCACUACAUCCUCAGUGUCUUACUCUUUACACCUUUUCUCAUUUCUUCACUACCUGAUCCUAGUCCCAGUAUUCAAUCCCCAUAUAUUCCUUCUUCAUCUAUACCUCAUUUGCAGCUUCAGCCGUUACUUCAUUCGGAAUAUGAGGUUUGUUUUGAUUAACUAUUCUUAUGUGAUUUACUUCAAUCAACCGUUAUCCGCCAUCGUUAAAACAUAACAAUACACUGCUGCUGUUUCUUUUUACUGGUACUUGUACUUUCUCCAUUCCAGUUGAUCUAUGUACCAUUAAUACCGUCAUUAAUUAUUGUUGUCAAUUGAAUAGAGUUUAUUAUGCUUUUUCAUGAGCAUCUUCUUUUGCCAAAUGUUGUUACCUACACCAUUCUCUAUAGGGGGUUAUCUCUCAUGACAAAUCUCUGGAGGUUGAGCACUGGUUUGAGAAGCUCAGCACAAUCAGACUAACUAAAACUAGUGUUGUUCCAUUAUUGAAAUAGGUUGAGCACUGGUUGGAUUUUUCUUUACUGUAGGGUUACUUUAUAAGUUAUUGAACUUACUUGAAUCAAGAGAGCAGGAUCCCGGCGCUCCUUGAAUCAAUUUCACUGUUUCUAAAUCGGAUCAUGGUGUUUAUAUAUUAGUGGUACUUUUUUUUUUCAUCGAUGCAUAUAUAAAAUAUUUAACCUCUGUUUCUUUCAUCAUCUUUAAUUGAAUAUUAGUGACCGUUCCUGCUUCCUCGGUGACAAAUAAGAAUCUUCUAUAGUGUCUGGGGAUUUAUUUAGAGCACUGCAAGUUUUUGCAUCAAUGUUGUUGUCUAUAAUUAUAGUAAUAAAUGUUGAUGCCAUCAAAAGAUUCUUUCGGUGAUGCACAUAUAUAUUAAGUUCUGUUUCUUCUUUUGUGUUUCUUACUAUAUAUAGUUUGGCUCAACCACUUUUGCUGCAGAUGGACACUUGGAAUGGUAGCAUUACUGGUUAAUAUUUGUAGCAGUUCUGCAAAAGAAGCACAGAUCUGGUGCAUCAUGGGGAAUGUCAAGCGCAGAAAACCAAGGUGUUAAACUGGAAUAUAGUGACAUGCAGAAUCUUGUUGCCUGGACUUUGCUGAAAUGGACUUGUUGUUGAAGCAAUGUCCGUGUUUCACAAGAUGGAGUCAUGUGGCUAAUUAGUUCCUGAUUUACGCAUUUAUAAUAUUCUGAUUCAUGGAUUGUUCAAGAAUGGCAAAGUUGAUGAAGCAAGAAAUCUUUUUCAAAAUAUUCUUUUAAAGGGUUUGCGCCCUAGUGUCAUAUCUUACAACAGUAUGAUACAAGGAUUCUGUCAAGAAGGGUUGCUGGAAGAAGCAUAUAAAAUACUUCUGGAGAUGGAAGAACAGAGUUGCUUCCCUAAUUAAAUUACGGGCAACACUCUUAUCCCCGGCUGCUUUAGGAAUAAGAUUUAUGAUGGAGGUUGUGUGCUUAUAAAUGAUAUGUCAUAUGUGUGUUCAUGGUUUCAAAGCAGAUGUCUGUACCAGCUCCACGCUAUUUGAUUUGCUGCAAUCAAAAGAGCAGGUCCUGCUCUUUUUGCUUUGCAGAAGAAGUUCAUGCCUUAACUACAUCAAUGAGCAAGUUUAUUAAGGUGCAAAAUACUUUUAACUUGACAGCACUUCGUAAUAGUUUGCUACAAUAUUUAAAGUCAACAGCAAUUUUGUUGAAAAUCAGAUUUUGAGACGGUGGUCAUGUUCUAUUUGCAUCUUUUUACAAAUGAGAAUCAUGAAAAAGCAUGUUUUCAUUCUUAUGUUUUUUACUCAUCGACUCUACGUAUUUUCAACUUUUUUUCUAGAAAAGGUAAAUUAUCCGAAUAAUUAUUUAUUAAUUAUUAAACUUGUUUUCUAUUUCAUUCGCUCUCUUUUCAAGUAAACAUGUUGCAUUUGAGGCUUAAUUGCUGCUUUGAACCGGUGUUUUGUAAUGUGUGUAUGCUUUAAGAUGAAGGUUGUAAUUAUGCUAUGAUGUGCUUGUGCUUUUGUUUACUUUUUCGGGUUUUUACGAGGUUUGAUGGUUGAUUUUUGUAAUUUUAAGUGUUAUUUGUAUUUAGAGGUGGAUAACGAGCUGUACGAGACGAGGCAAGUUGGAGAUGAAAGGAGUUGCUUAAAAUUGGAUUUGGACACCGUUUUCCUCGCGUUGUCGAGGCGAGUUCAAUUCUCCUUAUCUACUCCGGAGACGAGUUCUCGCUAUCCCAACUCGUGUACAACUUGGCGAGUUGAGCAAGUUCUAUGAAUUACUACAAUUUUUUUUUAAAUGAUGUAUAUAGCUUACAAAUAUAUCUUUAACUGAUAUAACCUACAAAAAUAAUGUAUACACUCCCUCUGUGUGUCUAGAUUGUUUAACUUAGUGGACGGGGGGCUUGACACACAUUUUAAGAAUCCUGUAAAGUGUAGUUUCACAAAUUAUUUUUUUUUUCUUCUGAAUAAAAAUUUAAUAUUUAAAUAUUUGUAAAAAAUUAAAAAUAAUAUGAAAAUAUGUCUUAUAUGCACCUUCAAAUGCGAGUUAAACAAUAAAAAAUACCGUGUGGAUGUCCUUGACUUUUCACAGAUAGAUGGAUAGACUUUUAACUUUUCAUCCUUCAAGCUUUGAUCUUUCAUAUUCCAGUUACUCUAGACUUUUGACCUUUUAAAUAUCUUGUAACUUCUUUAUCAUGUUCAAACUUGUACUUAGAAACUUACUCUAAUAAAUACAAUUCUCUUAUUCACUUUCUAAUAUCUCUUUUAUGUUUACUUUAUAUUUAUAUUAUAUUCAUAACAUUUAAUUACAUCUCUUCAUUUUUCAACAAUGUUCUAAAAGUCGGGAUUAAUCGUUGUUCGAUCGGCCAUCGUCUCGAUUAAGUAUUAAUCGAUAAAAAAAGUGUUUUUCCUGAAAAAUCGAUUAAAGACGGGAUUAAUCGGUUAGAAAAGGAUAUAAUCGGCAAAAAUCGGUAAAUUUAAAAACUUUAAAAAUUAUUUUAAAAAAUUUAAAAUUAAAAAAAUUAAUUUUAAGACACAUUGUACUAUGGUCUUAUGGAUGAAUUGACCUAAAUAUUUAGAAAAUAGAUAUUUUGUGGAUAAAAUCAUUAAUUUUUUAAUUUAUAAAAGUAUAUGAUUAUAAAUCUAUUGUAAAUAUAAAUAUAUUUAUACUUAUAUUUAUCUAGUUUAAAAAAUAAUAUUAAAUUGAUUCCGAUUAAUGAUCCGAUUAAUCCCCGAUUAUCCGAUUGAUCGCUAGACGGUACCUUUACCGACUAAGUCCAAUUUCCGCUUUUUACAACACUGUUUUCCAAUGCACAAGAUAUGGAAAAUGUUAUUUCCAGAGCAAGAUUUUUGUUUUCGGAGCAAAUUCAAUGCUCUCCCCCCCUUGCAUCCACAUAAAUCAUACAACUUCAGUCCAAAUUUCUGUAAAUUGCUCUGGAAAUUAAAAAACUGCUCUGGAUAUAACAUUUCCCACAAGAUAUCUAUUACACUAUAUUUAAUAACUCUAAAAAUUGCAUAUUUAUCUUUUAACUAACAAAAUAAUUAUCAAAUGUAUAGAUGAAUUUACAUUCUCUCUCGGUCUUAAAAUAAGUGUCAUUUUGACAAUUUGAACAUAAUUUAAGAGGCAAAAAAAACAUGCUUCCACACACUAUUUUUCAAUUUUUUUUUCUGAAUGAAAAUAUAGAUGUUAAACUUUUAUUCAGGAAAAAGAAUAUUUAAAAAAUAAUAUAUAAAAGUAUGAUUUUUUUUGCAUCUCAAAUUACGUUAAAAAAAAUUCAUUUGAAUUGGAAUCAUAAAUUUUAAAUGCAUUACCAGCAAAUCAGCAAUACAAAAUGUAGAUGAUAUGUUGCUUUAGAAGCAGCACUCUCCUUCACAGAAACAGCACAGGAGCAGAGUUUCUAAACACAAAGGCUUUAAAAUGCAAUUGUGGAAGAUGAAGACGAUGAUAAUGAAGAGGGCUUUCACCUCCUGCUUCACUUCAAACACUCUCCUUCCAUUCCCAAGACUAGGUACGAAUAAUAUUACUGCUACUACUACUAUUACGUUGCUUCGAUUGCAUUCACUUUCUCAAUCCCCCACUUGCCCUAACCCUAAUCACAUACCCAAUCAUCUUACAAAACUUCAACAAUUACUGUUGGAGAAAUCUAGAGUUGGUUUUGAUAAGCCUGAUGAUGCUCUUCAAGUGUUCGAUAAAAUGCUCCGUAUGAAACCUCUGCCUAGGGUUAUCGACUUUAAUCAACUCCUGGCCGCCCUUGUCAAGAUGAAACAUUACUCCGUGGCUGUCUCCGUCUUUUCAAAGAUGUGCUCUUUUACCAUUCCUGUUAAUGUAGUCACUUAUAGUACUGUCAUCAACUGUUGCUGUCACUUAAAACGAGUUGAUUAUGGCUUUACGCUGUUGGCUGCCAUCUUUAAACGUGGUUUUGUCCCGAAUGUUGUUACCUACACAACUCUUCUUAGGGGACUCAUUUCCCAGGACAAGUUUCUUGAGGCUGAGCUUCUCUUUAAGAACCUUCUCAAGCACAAUCAAGUUGAGCCCAAUGCAGUUAUCUUUAACACCAUUAUUAAUGGCCAAUGCAAAACAGGCAACACUUCCCAGGCUAUGAUGUUGCUUAGAUACAUGGAGAAGAAAGGUUGUAUGCCGGAUGUAGUAACUUACAGCACUAUUAUUGAUAGUUUGUCCAAAGACAGAUUAGUCGAUGAUGCUUUGGGUCUUCUUGCUGAAAUGAGUGACAAAGGCAUUCGACCAAAUGUUAUAACCUACAGCUCAUUAAUUCAAGGUCUGUGCAACCUUAACCGAUGGGAUGAUAUAACACAAUUGUUAAAAGAUAUGGACAAACACAAAAUUUCUCCAGAUAAGCAUACCUAUAGUAUAUUGGUUGAUGCACAUGCCAGAGAUGGAAAGGUCAAAGAUGCUGAGUAUCUGAUAGAGUUAAUGAUUCAAAGAGGUCAAAAUCCUAAUGUAGUCACCUACAGUGCACUUAUGGAUGGAUACUGCUUGAGAGGAGAAUUGGAUAAAGCGUUUGCAGUGCUCAGAACCAUGAGAAAUAAGGGGAUUUUGCCCAACACUCAG